AACGAACGCUGGCGGCAUGCCUAACACAUGCAAGUCGAACGAGACCUUCGGGUCUAGUGGCGCACGGGUGCGUACCGCGUGGGAACCUGCCCUUAGGUUCGGUAUAACUCCCCGAAAGGGGUGCUAAUACCGGAUAAUGUCUUCGCACCAAAGAUUUAUCGCCUUUGGAUGGGCCCGCGUUGGUUUAGCUAGUUGGUAGGGUACAAGCCUACCAAGGCGAGGAUCCAUAGCUGGUCUGAGAGGAGGAUCAGCCCCACUGGGACUGAGACACGGCCCAGACUCCUACGGGAGGGAGCAGUGGGGAAUAUAGGACAAGGGGCGAAAGCCUGAUCCAGCAAUGCCGCGGGAGUGAGGAAGGCCUUAGGGUUGUAAAGCUCUUUUACCCGGGAUGAUAAUGACAGUACCGGGAGAAUAAGCACCGGCUAACUCCGUG
rnacentral:rRNA from 1 species